UGAGUUUGGUCUGGUUUUUCUUUCUGGUCUAACAGACAGCCCUGAGUUCAUCAGUGCCUCACACUUGCUGUGCUCUCCCUCUCCCCAGCACACAGAAAUACUCUCCACACCAUGCUGCACUGCUGCGGAUGAGGGAAGGGUGGUGUCGGGGCUUCAAGACUGUUUUUCCUACCUCUUCAGUGCCUCUUUCAGUGAUAUGAAGUUAAAACCAGGAACAUGGAGGAGACAUCUUUCCGCCUAUUUCUCUCCAUAAGUAUAAAAGACCAUAAAAGACCAUCUAGGGACUUCAGAACCCAAAUAAUGACACAAUGGGCUAACUGCUGACUGGAGAGGGGAGAAAAUGGAACACGGAGAGACAGAAGAAAGGUAGGAGUGUGUUAACACGUGGAAUCCAUUAAGGGCUGGAAGGGUGAUUUAUUUUAGGAAGAGCAAGUUCUCUACCAUCAAAGGUCACAAAGGAUCAAGUCAGAGAGGACAGGCCUGCUUUUCAAGAGCCCACACCCAAAAUGGAAAGAUGAGGGAAGAUGAAUCAUUUUGCACUAUUGGGUUGGAACAGCAGAGUGAUGCAAAAAAUUCUGAGAUCAAUUUUCCUAUCAAUUCUGGUGUCCAAUGAAUUGGCUUUUCAGCCAGAUGGUUCACAGGUUCAGAAAAGGCUUGUUGAUCCAUUAUCCCCUGAGGGAGGGGUUCCAUAAGUGGACAUUCCAGGGCCCAGAAUCUUAAGUUCUCAUGCCAAGAGUGCUCUGAUGGAAAAAUUUCCAUCAUGCUUUAU